UACGAAGGGGGCAAGCGUUGUUCGGAAUAACUGGGCGUAAAGCGCACGUAGGCGGAAUGUUAAGUUAGAGGUGAAAUCCCAGGGCUCAACCCUGGAACUGCCUUUAAUACUGGCAAUCUAGAGACCGAGAGAGGUGAGUGGAAUUCCGAGUGUAGAGGUGAAAUUCGUAGAUAUUCGGAGGAACACCAGUGGCGAAGGCGGCUCACUGGCUCGGUACUGACGCUGAGGUGCGAAAGCGUGGGGAGCAAACAGGAUUAGAUACCCUAGUAGUCC
rnacentral:rRNA from 1 species